GUCUUCAACUUUAUGUUUUUGCAAUCGACAACAUUCGUUACGCGUGUUUAAAAAAGUGACGGUUCACAAGUGUGUAAAUGAGAUUUGUUUACCGAGCGCGCCGAAGCGCACGCCGAUGUUUUAAACUCGAUAAUGAUCCUUCCGCAGGUUCACCUACGGAAA
rnacentral:misc_RNA from 1 species